GACGAACGCUGGCGGCGUGCCUAAUACAUGCAAGUUGAGCGAUGAAGAUUGGUGCUUGCACCAAUUUGAAGAGCAGCGAACGGGGGAGUAACGCGUGGGGAAUCUGCCUUUGAGCGGGGGACAACAUUUGGAAACGAAUGCUAAUACCGCAUAACAACUUUAAACAUAAGUUUUAAGUUUGAAAGAUGCAAUUGCAUCACUCAAAGAUGAUCCCGCGUUGUAUUAGCUAGUUGGUGAGGUAAAGGCUCACCAAGGCGAUGAUACAUAGCCGACCUGAGAGGGUGAUCGGACAAAUCGGGAAUGAGAAACGGCCCAAAAUCCUACGGGAGGCAGCAGUAGGGAAUCUUCGGCAAUGGACGAAAGUCUGAACGAGCAACGCCGCGUGAGGGAAGAAGGUUUUCGGAUCGUAAAAAUCUGUUGGUAGAGAAGAACGUUGGUGAGAGUGGAAAGCUCAUCAAGUGACGGUAACUACCCAGAAAGGGACGGCUAACUACGUG
rnacentral:rRNA from 1 species